rnacentral:rRNA from 1 species
CCUACGGGAGGCAGCAGUGGGGAAUAUUGCGCAAUGGGCGAAAGCCUGACGCAGCGACGCCGCGUGAGGGAUGAAGGUCUUCGGAUCGUAAACCUCUGUCAGCAGGGAAGAACGGUCACUGUGCUAAUCAGCAGUGAAUUGACGGUACCUGCAAAGGAAGCACCGGCUAACUCCGUGCCAGCAGCCGCGGUAAUACGGAGGGUGCGAGCGUUAAUCGGAAUUACUGGGCGUAAAGCGCUCGUAGGCGGUAUGUCAAGUCAAGGGUGAAAUCCCCGCGCUCAACGUGGGAACUGCCUUUGAAACUGGCAAACUGGAGUGUGUGAGAGGAUAGUAGAAUUCCAGGUGUAGGAGUGAAAUGCGUAGAUAUCUGGAGGAACAUCAGUGGCGAAGGCGACUAUCUGGCACAUAACUGACGCUGAGGAGCGAAAGCGUGGGUAGCAAACAGGAUUAGAUACCCGAGUAGUC